GACUUUUUGGAAUACUUCGAAACGCAAGUUCAAAACUGUACAACACUUUACGAACCUGGUAGCAAAAAAAAACAGAAUUGAUUCAAAACUCACUGAACAUACACAAGUCAUUUACCCCAGCCAGAGGACACAUACACCAAGAGUAGCUGCAGCACCUCGCGCCAAACCCAUAUUCCCUGGGUUGGAGCCAGAUUCUCUAAGUCUAACCACUGUGUUAUAGUGAAAAGAAAAAGAGAACAAACAACUUACAGCUUCAUGGACUUCACAUCGAAACACAUGGCAUUGAAAUAUUCCAGAUGAUUGAUGGGAUUCAGUGAAUGCAAAACAAUCUUUCUCAGCACUAUCAUCAGCACCACGACAGCAGAAUAAUAUCGUGUAAAGUUUAAAUGACGUCAUCACUCCAGAUACUCCAGGUAAAUAUUGCACCUGACUGUUCCAUCUGCUCUGUUGGGAACACUGAGCACAACCUCAAUCUGUUUAUGAAGAGGAUUAUCAUCCGUGUCGUUUUGUCCUGGAAGAUUGAACUCCCGGAAGUAACUUGACUCCGGAUCUUGUUGAGCACGGAGGAUAGAAAUUGUUCGAAGAGCUUCCAUUUCGCUCCUUGGAGCAUUUACUGAUGCGCAUCCAAGAUAAUAAACUCCGUUAAA